GCUUGCUCCCGGAUGUUAGCGGCGGACGGGUGAGUAACACGUGGGUAACCUGCCUGUAAGACUGGGAUAACUCCGGGAAACCGGAGCUAAUACCGGAUAGUUCCUUGAACCGCAUGGUUCAAGGAUGAAAGACGGUUUCGGCUGUCACUUACAGAUGGACCCGCGGCGCAUUAGCUAGUUGGUGGGGUAAUGGCUCACCAAGGCGACGAUGCGUAACCGACCUGAGAGGGUGAUCGGCCACACUGGGACUGACACACGGCCCACACUCCUACGGGAGGCAGCAGUAGGGAAUCUUCCGCAAUGGACGAAAGUCUGACGGACCAACGCCGCGUGAGUGAUGAAUGUUUUCGGAUCGUAAAGCUCUGUUGUUAGGAAAGAACAAGUGCGAGAGUAACUGCUCGCACCUUGACGGUACCUAACCAGAAAGCCACGGCUAACUACGUGCCACCAGCCGCGGUAAUACGUAGGUGGCAAGCGUUGUCCGGAAUUAUUGGGCGUAAAGGGCUCGCAGGCGGUUUCUUAAGUCUGAUGUGAAAGCCCCCGGCUCAACCGGGGAGGGUCAUUGGAAACUGGGAAACUUGAGUGCAAAAAAGGAGAGUGUAAUUCCACGUGUAUCGGUGAAAUGCAUAUAGAUGUGGAGGAACACCAGUGGCGAAAGCCACUCUCUGGUCUGUAACUGACGCUGAGGAGCGAAAGCGUGGGGAGCGAACAGGAUUAUAUACACUGGUAGUCCACGCCGUAAACGAUGAGUGCUAAGUGACAGGAGGUUUCCGCCCCUUAGUGCUGCAGCUAACGCAUUAAGCACUCCGCCUGGGGAGUACGGUCGCAAGACUGAAACUCAAAGGAAUUGACGAGCUCCCGCACACGCGACGGAGCAUGGGGUUUAUAUCAAAUCAACGCGGAGAAACC
rnacentral:rRNA from 2 species